AGAACGAACGCUGGCGGCAUGCCUAAUACAUGCAAGUCGAACGAACUCUUCGGAGUUAGUGGCGCACGGGUGCGUAACGCGUGGGAAUCUGCCCCUUGGUUCGGAAUAACAGUUGGAAACGACUGCUAAUACCGGAUGAUGACGAAAGUCCAAAGAUUUAUCGCCAAGGGAUGAGCCCGCGUAGGAUUAGCUAGUUGGUGAGGUAAAGGCUCACCAAGGCAACGAUCCUUAGCUGGUCUGAGAGGAUGAUCAGCCACACUGGGACUGAGACACGGCCCAGACUCCUACGGGAGGCAGCAGUAGGGAAUA
rnacentral:rRNA from 1 species